rnacentral:rRNA from 1 species
UACCCGCUGAACUUAAGCAUAUUAUUAAGCGGAGGAAAAGAAACCAACUGGGAUGUCCUUAGUAACGGCGAGUGAAGAGGACUACAGUCCAGCGCUGAAUUGUAUUGUUGGCAACAGCGAUACAACAUGUAGCGUGAAGCAAGCAUCUAUUGAUACCGUUAUUGUGUGUAAGUCUCCAUGAGCGGGGCCAAGUUCCAGGGAUGGUGCAAGGCCAGUGUCGCACAUAACGAGUGUUUCAAUGCAAGCUUGUCGAGAGUCAGGUUGUUUGGGAACGCAACCUAAAGUCGGUGGUAUGCUCCAUCGAAGACUAAAUAUGGCCACGAGUCCGAUAGCGAACAAGUACCGUGAGGGAAAAUUGAAAAGCACUUUGAAGAGAGAGCGAAACAGUGCGUGAAACCGCUCAGAGGUAAGCAGAUGGACCCUCGAAGGUUGUAUAAUUGAUUUUUCAAUUAUCGCACGCCACCACUAUUGCUGGAUGUGUCCGUAGCUGGUUGUGGACACUUGAGACUGAGCUUCGGCUUACUUGAGAUGCUUGCAAUCGGUGUUACGUGAGUGACUACGGCAUCUGGUAAUAGCACCAGGGCGCUAGUUGGUAACAAGUAAGAGCGCUUGCUGGUGCAUUGUUUCAUUCUCAAGAUGUGAGUAGCAUCUUGGCUUGAGCAAUGCGCUGCAACACGUUAGUAUUAUGUUGCCGGCUAUUAAGUGCCCGGUGGCGAGUAGA